UACGUAGGGGGCAAGCGUUACCCGGAUUCAUUGGGCGUAAAGGGUGCGUAGGCGGCGCGGUAAGUCGGGUGUGAAAUCUCGGAGCUUAACUCCGAAACUGCAUUCGAUACUGCCGUGCUUGAGGACUGGAGAGGAGACUGGAAUUUACGGUGUAGCGGUGAAAUGCGUAGAUAUCGUAAGGAAGACCAGUGGCGAAGGCGGGUCUCUGGACAGUUCCUGACGCUGAGGCACGAAGGUCAGGGGAGCAAACGGG
rnacentral:rRNA from 1 species